UACGUAGGUGGCAAGCGUUGUCCGGAUUUACUGGGCGUAAAGAGCGCGCAGGCGGUCGUUCAAGUCGCGUGUGAAAGCCCCCGGCUCAACUGGGGAGGGUCACGCGAUACUGAUCGACUCGAAGGCAGGAGAGGGAAGUAGAAUUCCCGGUGUAGUGGUGAAAUGCGUAGAUAUCGGGAGGAACACCUGUGGCGAAAGCGGCGCACUGGACCACAACUGACGCUGAGGCGCGAAAGCUAGGGGAGCAAACAGG
rnacentral:rRNA from 1 species